AGUAGCGCAGCUGCUACAGCAUUGGCCUGUAGGCCCAAAGAUGGCACCACACCCCUGCCCGCUAUAA
rnacentral:tRNA from 1 species